UUCCUCCUAGACCGGCUCCACUGGAAGAACCACAUUGACAGGUUCCAGCUUCCAGUCCAACCCUCAGCCCCAGGUUCACACCCACCAGCCCAAGCUUCCCCAGGUCUGCACUCCCUCUCCCCCUCUUUUCAAUAAACACUAGUUUCCUAUUAA